rnacentral:rRNA from 1 species
CAGGCCUAACACAUGCAAGUCGAGCGGAAACGAGUUAUCUGAACCUUCGGGGGACGAUAACGGCGUCGAGCGGCGGACGGGUGAGUAAUGCCUAGGAAAUUGCCCUGAUGUGGGGGAUAACCAUUGGAAACGAUGGCUAAUACCGCAUAAUACCUUCGGGUCAAAGAGGGGGACCUUCGGGCCUCUCGCGUCAGGAUAUGCCUAGGUGGGAUUAGCUAGUUGGUGAGGUAAUGGCUCACCAAGGCGACGAUCCCUAGCUGGUCUGAGAGGAUGAUCAGCCACACUGGAACUGAGACACGGUCCAGACUCCUACGGGAGGCAGCAGUGGGGAAUAUUGCACAAUGGGCGCAAGCCUGAUGCAGCCAUGCCGCGUGUGUGAAGAAGGCCUUCGGGUUGUAAAGCACUUUCAGUCGUGAGGAAGGUAGUGUAGUUAAUAGCUGCAUUAUUUGACGUUAGCGACAGAAGAAGCACCGGCUAACUCCGUGCCAGCAGCCGCGGUAAUACGGAGGGUGCGAGCGUUAAUCGGAAUUACUGGGCGUAAAGCGCAUGCAGGUGGUUUGUUAAGUCAGAUGUGAAAGCCCGGGGCUCAACCUCGGAAUAGCAUUUGAAACUGGCAGACUAGAGUACUGUAGAGGGGGGUAGAAUUUCAGGUGUAGCGGUGAAAUGCGUAGAGAUCUGAAGGAAUACCGGUGGCGAAGGCGGCCCCCUGGACAGAUACUGACACUCAGAUGCGAAAGCGUGGGGAGCAAACAGGAUUAGAUACCCUGGUAGUCCACGCCGUAAACGAUGUCUACUUGGAGGUUGUGGCCUUGAGCCGUGGCUUUCGGAGCUAACGCGUUAAGUAGACCGCCUGGGGAGUACGGUCGCAAGAUUAAAACUCAAAUGAAUU